rnacentral:rRNA from 1 species
CCUACGGGAGGCAGCAGUGGGGAAUUUUGCGCAAUGCUCGUAAGAGUGACGCAGCGACGCCGCGUGAAUGACGAAGGCCUUCGGGUCGUAAAGUUCUUUCGAACGGGAAGAAAAUGCCUAUAAGGAACUGUGUAUGUAUUGACGGUACCUGUAUAAGCAGCCCCGGCUAACUCCGUACCAGCAGCAGCAGUAAUACGGAGGGGGCGAGCGUUGUACGGAGUGACUGGGCGUAAAGAGCACGUAGGCGGUGUUGUAAGUCAUUAGUCAAAGACUAGAGCUCAACUUUAGUAAGGCUAGUGUUACUAUAAUACGAGAGUAUCAGAGAGGAUUGCAGAAUUCCUGGUGUAGCGGUGAAAUGCGUAGAUAUCAGGAGGAAUACCGUUAGCGAAGGCGGCAAUCUGGCUGGAAACUGACGCUGAGGUGCGAAAGCGUGGGUAGCAAACAGGAUUAGAUACCCGAGUAGUC